rnacentral:rRNA from 1 species
GAUGAACGCUGGCGGUCUGCUUAACACAUGCAAGUCGAACGAGAACGGACUUAAGCUUGCUUAAGUUGUCAGCUAAGUGGCGCACGGGUGAGUAAUGUAUAGUUAACCUGCCCUCUAGAGAGGAAUAACAGUUGGAAACGACUGCUAAUGCCUUAUAUGCCUUUAAGACAGAAGUCUGCAAAGGGAAAUGCUUUAGUGCCAGAGGAUGGGACUGUAUGGUAUCAGUUAGUUGGUGGGGUAUGGCUUACAAGCAUGACGCCUAACUGGUUUGAGAGGAUGAUCAGU